rnacentral:rRNA from 1 species
CUGGUGGCGAGUGGCGAACGGGUGAGUAAUACAUCGGAACGUGUCCUGUAGUGGGGGAUAGCCCGGCGAAAGCCGGAUUAAUACCGCAUACGCUCUACGGAGGAAAGGGGGGGAUCUUAGGACCUCCCGCUACAGGGGCGGCCGAUGGCAGAUUAGCUAGUUGGUGGGGUAAAGGCCUACCAAGGCGACGAUCUGUAGCUGGUCUGAGAGGACGACCAGCCACACUGGGACUGAGACACGGCCCAGACUCCUACGGGAGGCAGCAGUGGGGAAUUUUGGACAAUGGGGGCAACCCUGAUCCAGCAAUGCCGCGUGUGUGAAGAAGGCCUUCGGGUUGUAAAGCACUUUUGUCCGGAAAGAAAACGCCGUGGUUAAUACCCGUGGCGGAUGACGGUACCGGAAGAAUAAGCACCGGCUAACUACGUGCCAGCAGCCGCGGUAAUACGUAGGGUGCAAGCGUUAAUCGGAAUUACUGGGCGUAAAGCGUGCGCAGGCGGUCCGCUAAGACAGAUGUGAAAUCCCCGGGCUUAACCUGGGAACUGCAUUUGUGACUGGCGGGCUAGAGUAUGGCAGAGGGGGG